rnacentral:rRNA from 1 species
AAAGAAAGCGUAAUAGCUCACUGGUCGAGUCGGCCUGCGCGGAAGAUGUAACGGGGCUAAACCAUGCACCGAAGCUGCGGCAGCGACGCUUAUGCGUUGUUGGGUAGGGGAGCGUUCUGUAAGCCUGUGAAGGUGUACUGUGAGGUAUGCUGGAGGUAUCAGAAGUGCGAAUGCUGACAUAAGUAACGAUAAAGCGGGUGAAAAGCCCGCUCGCCCUUAGCC